UGAGAUACGGCCCAGACUCCUACGGGAGGCAGCAGUGGGGAAUAUUGCACAAUGGGCGCAAGCCUGAUGCAGCGACGCCGCGUGCGGGAUGACGGCCUUCGGGUUGUAAACCGCUUUUGACUGGGAGCAAGCCCUUCGGGGUGAGUGUACCUUUCGAAUAAGCACCGGCUAACUACGUGCCAGCAGCCGCGGUAAUACGUAGGGUGCAAGCGUUAUCCGGAAUUAUUGGGCGUAGAGGGCUCGUAGGCGGUUCGUCGCGUCCGGUGUGAAAGUCCAUCGCUUAACGGUGGAUCCGCGCCGGGUACGGGCGGGCUUGAGUGCGGUAGGGGAGACUGGAAUUCCCGGUGUAACGGUGGAAUGUGUAGAUAUCGGGAAGAACACCAAUGGCGAAGGCAGGUCUCUGGGCCGUCACUGACGCUGAGGAGCGAAAGCGUGGGGAGCGAACAGGAUUAGAUACCCUGGUAGUCCACGCCGUAAACGGUGGAUGCUGGAUGUGGGGACCAUUCCACGGUCUCCGUGUCGGAGCCAACGCGUUAAGCAUCCCGCCUGGGGAGUACGGCCGCAAGGCUAAAACUCAAAGAAAUUGACGGGGGCCCGCACAAGCGGCGGAGCAUGCGGAUUAAUUCGAUGCAACGCGAAGAACCUUACCUGGGCUUGACAUGUUCCCGACAGCCGUAGAGAUACGGUCUCCCUUCGGGGCGGGUUCACAGGUGGUGCAUGGUCGUCGUCAGCUCGUGUCGUGAGAUGUUGGGUUAAGUCCCGCAACGAGCGCAACCCUCGCCCUGUGUUGCCAGCACGUCAUGGUGGGAACUCACGGGGGACCGCCGGGGUCAACUCGGAGGAAGGUGGGGAUGACGUCAGAUCAUCAUGCCCCUUACGUCCAGGGCUUCACGCAUGCUACAAUGGCCGGUACAACGGGAUGCGACACUGUGAGGUGGAGCGGAUCCCUUAAAACCGGUCUCAGUUCGGAUUGGAGUCUGCAACCCGACUCCAUGAAGGCGGAGUCGCUAGUAAUCGCGGAUCAGCAACGCCGCGGUGAAUGCGUUCCCGGGCCUUGUACACACCGCCCGUCAAGUCAUGAAAGUGGGUAGCACCCGAAGCCGGUGGCCCAACCUUUUGGGGGGAGCCGUCUAAGGUGAGACUCGUGAUUGGGACUAAG
rnacentral:rRNA from 1 species